rnacentral:rRNA from 1 species
UCGAGAAUCUUCCUCAAUGGACGAAAGUCUGAAGGAGCGACGCCGCGUGUAGGAUGAAGGUCUUCGGAUCGUAAACUACUUUUAUAAGGGAAGAAUUUGUGACGGUACCUUAUGAAUAAGAGGUUGCUAACUCUGUGCCAGCAGCAGCGGUAAUACAGAGACCUCAAGCGUUAUCCGGAUUUAUUGGGCGUAAAGCGUCCGCAGGUUCCUUGGUAAGUCCUUGGUCAAAACUCAGAGCUCAACUCUGAAC